AUGCAGAUAUGCAUCCUUAUCCUUGUCCUGGUGCGUGUAACCGUAAAGGCCCAGUGAAUGCAAUUGUCAUUUGAAUUGAUGAUUGGACAACAUUACCAGAAUUUGAAGAAAGUAGGUCUACGCUGAAGUUACCUUCUUCGGUCAGUUUUAAUAUCGAGUGCCACUGUGGUGGUGUUGGAAGGGAAAGUGGAAAAGGAGAAGAAAUUAUUCAAUCUAUAAACAAGGUUUCGGAUAGAAUAAUGUAAAUACUCACCAAAAGAAUAAGGACUUG